AAGCAUUCCCGUUUAGUAGAGAUGUUAUGCCAUAAAAAAAAUUUGUGGGAAGACCAAAUACAAAUCCCAGAAGACCAGACGAACAAAGGGAAUUCUCCUGUGAUAACGUUCCUGCUCAUUUUUCUUCCUCACCAUGCUGACUGACAGUAGUCCAAGGGAGGCUUCAUGCCUACAUGAAAGUUAGCAAUUAUAAACUGGCAACUUGAAGAUAUCUCCGUUCCUCUCUCCUACUCUCUUUUCUAUUCUGGAAACCAAAAUCGUCUACUUUUGAGAAGCUGUAGGUUCUUG
rnacentral:misc_RNA from 1 species